rnacentral:misc_RNA from 1 species
AACACUGUUAACCUGCGGUACCUGCGGAGGGAUCAUUACCGAGUUUACAACUCCCAAACCCCUGUGAACAUACCAAUUGUUGCCUCGGCGGAUCAGCCCGCUCCCGGUAAAACGGGACGGCCCGCCAGAGGACCCCUAAACUCUGUUUCUAUAUGUAACUUCUGAGUAAAACCAUAAAUAAAUCAAAACUUUCAACAACGGAUCU